GAGUUUGAUCGUGGCUCAGGAUGAACGCUGGCGGCGUGCCUAAUACAUGCAAGUCGAGCGAACGGACGAGAAGCUUGCUUCUCUGAUGUUAGCGGCGGACGGGUGAGUAACACGUGGAUAACCUACCUAUAAGACUGGGAUAACUUCGGGAAACCGGAGCUAAUACCGGAUGAUAUUUUGAACCGCAUGGUUCAAAAGUGAAAGACGGUUCUUGCUGUCACUUAUAGAUGGAUCCGCGCUGCAUUAGCUAGUUGGUAAGGUAACGGCUUACCAAGGCAACGAUGCAUAGCCGACCUGAGAGGGUGAUCGGCCACACUGGAACUGAGACACGGUCCAGACUCCUACGGGAGGCAGGCAGUAGGGAAUCUUCCGGCAAUGGGCGAAAGCCUGACGGAGCAACGCCGCGUGAGUGAUGAAGGUCUUCGGAUCGUAAAACUCUGUUAUUAGGGAGAACAUAUGUGU
rnacentral:rRNA from 1 species